AAAUGUCUUUUAUUAAUUUAACUAACUUCUUAAUCUUCUUCUAAUCUAAGAUCGGCAAACAAGUUCACCGGCCAUCUUAUAUUUACGAGAGCCCCCAUAAAUAUCACAACGUGAAUGUACGAUUAAUGAAGUUCUGGGCAGUAUUCAAAUCCUGAAAGGGUAGCUUCCAUAAACCAGCCUAUUUCUGCGUUGAGCAAGUCAUGUAUUCCAUUUUAAAGUGUGAGUCCGCCUUUAUACAAAUAAAACUUAUAUUUCAUGUCUCAAGGUCGAUGACGGCAUUCGGAUUGUGAUGUCUAAGGGGUUCUGGUAAUCCAAUAACAUCAGGUGUGCUGUGAGCUCGUCCGACUAUAGAUGUAAUUAAGAACCUUCUUGAAACAAAGCGGAAUUGUGAAGUACGUGUAUCAGUCUUUGUAGACAGCGACUUGGCUCUGCCCCUGGCAUUGCUGAGGUCCUUGGGUGACUGUAACCACUCACCAUCAGGUGGGUCGUACGUUCGUCUGCAUACAAGGGCAAUAAAAAAAAAAUUGUAACGUCUUAAAUUACUUUUAGGUACUUCAAUAGUUAGAACUACAAAAUAUAGUUUACAAUUGGAAACUUAAUGAAAAUAUGUUAAUCAGUAGUUAAUAUGUAGACUAUAUGUAUAGCAUCGACAAUAAAUAUAUGUCAAUUUUUUAUGUCGCGUUCAUAGAUUGUACACUAAUAUCAUAGACCUAUAUAGUAUUCAUACUUCAGUGACUAAUAUACAUAUGUCACUAGACACUACGUCAAACCAGACACACUUCUUCAUAGAUUAUACACUUAAACUUCUUCAUUUAUAAUUAUCAAAAAAAAAAUUAUUAGUCAAAAUAUUCAUAGUGGUCCAUGUAUUAUUAAUAUUCAAUGUAAACAAUUUAAGAUGUCAGAUAUACGAAAUUAUCUAAUGGAAAUUUAUUACUUAAUUUGAAGCUCGUAUCACGUUUACAAAUUUUGAACAAUCUUCGUUCUCUUCGUAAUCAUAUCACAAGCUUUAAGCAAAACCAAUUGAAAACAAAAUAUAUGUGCACAUAAAUACUAAAAUACGCACAUCUUUCAACAACAUCUAUUUCAUUGUUAUUGAUCGAAGGCAACUCUCCGUCGGAUAAAUAACCAAAGCCAUAGUUUGCUGCUUGCUUAUUAUUCUACAUAAUAUGUAAAAUGAAGUCUAUAUUUGAAACGUGCAAGAAGUAAAGAUUACCUACAAUAUUUCUUCAAAUUUACGGAUAUAUAAUAAAACUCAAAAAUUAAUAGUCAAAGUUUUAGAAUCAACAAUAGUACCUACAAUUAAUCUUCAGGAAAGCACAUUUUUAUACCCAUACUUUACUUCGGAAACAAACUAUUAUUUACAAUGCGUGGAAAAUCUAGUAUAAAAAUAUUAUUUAGUGCAGACGGAAUCAAGCAAGUGUACCAGAGCCACAGUAUGUUGCUGUACACCGUUUUAACUUUCCUUAUUGUUUUUGUUAUUUAUAUUUCGACCAAAGACUGGAAAGGCUUUACUUGCCCAGAAGAAGUGGAUUUGGGAUCGAUAGGAGUUUCUUCGCGUUCACGUCGUCGAAAACGAACUUAUCUUCAUAGACAUUACUGAAGUAUCUACCGCUUUAAAUUUUCAACUUGAAUAAACUUAUUAAUCCUUUAAAAUAA